rnacentral:rRNA from 1 species
UACAGGGGGGGCAAGCGUUGUUCGGAAUUACUGGGCGUAAAGGGCCAGUAGGCGGCCGACUAAGUCCGACGUGAAAUCCCCAGGCUUAACCUGGGAACUGCGUCGGAUACUGGAUGGCUUGAAUUCGGGAGAGGGAUGCAGAAUUCCAGGUGUAGCGGUGAAAUGCGUAGAUAUCUGGAGGAAUACCGGUGGCGAAGGCGGCAUCCUGGACCGACAUUGACGCUGAAAGGCGAAAGCUAGGGGAGCAAACGGG